rnacentral:lncRNA from 1 species
GUUGAUGCCUCCUCGUGGAUCUCACCGCCAUUUGUCACAAUUUUGCUCUCGCUUUCACUGCAAAGCACCGCCGCUUCGAAGUGGCAAAUUUUUGUGUUAAAGGAAAGUUAUGUGACAAUGAUUUAAUUGCUCUUUACAUACUUGUGAACUUGAUCGAUCUCCAAACCAAUAGUGUUGAGUAUAUUAUCCAGAACGUGAGCAACAUUAGUAGCAAUUUGGAUUUUUGACAUCCAAGUGAUUUAGAGGUUAGAGGAGGAGCCUUUGAGAUUGCUGAGGAAGAG